UAGGGAAUCUUCGGCAAUGGGGGGAACCCUGACCGAGCAACGCCGCGUGAGUGAAGAAGGUUUUCGGAUCGUAAAGCUCUGUUGUUAAGGAAGAACGAGUGUGAGAAUGGAAAGUUCAUGCUGUGACGGUACCUAAUCAUAAAGCCACGGCUAACUACGUGCCAGCAGCCGCGGUAAUACGUAGGUGGCAAGCGUUAUCCGGAAUUAUUGGGCGUAAAGCGCGCGUAGGCGGUUUUUUAAGUCUGAUGUGAAAGCCCACGGCUCAACCGUGGAGGGUCAUUGGAAACUGGAAACCUUGAGUGCAGAAGAGGAAAGUGGAAUUCCAUGUGUAGCGGUGAAAUGCGCAGAGAUAUGGAGGAACACCAGUGGCGAAGGCGACUUUCUGGUCUGUAACUGACGCUGAUGUGCGAAAGCGUGGGGAUCAAACAGG
rnacentral:rRNA from 1 species